CACGAACGCUGGCGGCAGGCUUAACACAUGCAAGUCGAGCGCCCCGCAAGGGGAGCGGCAGACGGGUGAGUAACGCGUGGGAAUCUACCCAUCUCUACGGAAUAACGCAUGGAAACGUGUGCUAAUACCGUAUACGUCCUUCGGGAGAAGGAUUUAUCGGAGAUGGAUGAGCCCGCGUUGGAUUAGCUAGUUGGUGGGGUAAAGGCCUACCAAGGCGACGAUCCAUAGCUGGUCUGAGAGGAUGAUCAGCCACACUGGGACUGAGACACGGCCCAGACUCCUACGGGAGGCAGCAGUGGGGAAUAUUGGACAAUGGGCGCAAGCCUGAUCCAGCCAUGCCGCGUGAGUGAUGAAGGCCCUAGGGUUGUAAAGCUCUUUCACCGGUGAAGAUAAUGACGGUAACCGGAGAAGAAGCCCCGGCUAACUUCGUGCCAGCCGCCGCAGUAAGAC
rnacentral:rRNA from 1 species